rnacentral:misc_RNA from 1 species
GAUGAAGAACGCAGCGAAAUGCGAUACUUGGUGUGAAUUGCAGAAUCCCGUGAACCAUCGAGUCUUUGAACGCAAGUUGCGCCCGAAGCCAUUUGGUUGAGGGCACGUCUGCCUGGGCGUCACAUAUCGUUGCCCGAUGCCUAUUGCACUGUGAUAGGAAAUUCUAGGGCGAAAGAUGGCUUCCCGUGAGCGUUGUUGCCUCGCGGUUGGUUGAAAAUCGAGUCCUUGGUAGGGUGUGCCAUGAUAGAUGGUGGUCGAGUUUGCACGAGACCGAUCAUGUGUGCGCUCCCCAAAAUAGGGGGUGGUGGGGGGGGGGGGGGGGGGUUGACGCUCAUGACGAGACCUCAGGUCAGGCGGGGCUACCCGCUGAGUUUAAGCAUAUCAAUAAGCGGAGGA